rnacentral:rRNA from 1 species
UACGUAGGGUGCGAGCGUUAAUCGGAAUUACUGGGCGUAAAGCGUGCGCAGGCGGCUUUGCAAGACAGAUGUGAAAUCCCCGGGCUUAACCUGGGAACUGCAUUUGUGACUGCAUGGCUGGAGUGCGGCAGAGGGGGAUGGAAUUCCGCGUGUAGCAGUGAAAUGCGUAGAGAUGUGGAGGAACACCGAUGGCGAAGGCAGCCCCCUGGGUCAAGACUGACGCUCAUGCACGAAAGCGUGGGGAGCAAACAGG